rnacentral:rRNA from 1 species
CGGCCGCGUCGACGUUUGAUCCUGGCUCAGAGCGAACGCUGGCGGCAGGCCUAACACAUGCAAGUCGAACGGACCCUUCGGGGUUAGUGGCGGACGGGUGAGUAACACGUGGGAACGUGCCUUUUGGUUCGGAAUAGCUCCUGGAAACGGGUGGUAAUGCCGAAUGUGCCCUUCGGGGGAAAGAUUUAUCGCCAUUAGAGCGGCCCGCGUCUGAUUAGCUAGUUGGUGAGGUAAAGGCUCACCAAGGCGACGAUCAGUAGCUGGUCUGAGAGGAUGACCAGCCACAUUGGGACUGAGACACGGCCCAAACUCCUACGGGAGGCAGCAGUGGGGAAUCUUGCGCAAUGGGCGAAAGCCUGACGCAGCCAUGCCGCGUGAAUGAUGAAGGUCUUAGGAUUGUAAAAUUCUUUCACCGGGGACGAUAAUGACGGUACCCGGAGAAGAAGCCCCGGCUAACUUCGUGCCAGCAGCCGCGGUAAUACGAAGGGGCGUCGACGCGGCCG